rnacentral:rRNA from 1 species
GACUUAGGGGGACGAGCGUUGUCCGGAUUUAUUGGGCGUAAAGCGCGUAUAGGUGGCCAAGUAGGUCCGCUGUGAAAACGUUGGAGGCUCAACCUCAAGCUGUCGGUGGAAACCCCUUGGCUAGAGUCCGGAAGAGGAGAGUGGAAUUCCUGGUGUAGCGGUGAAAUGCGCAGAUAUCAGGAGGAACACCGGUGGCGAAGGCGGGUCUCUGGGCAGCAACUGACGCUGGAGGAGCGAAAGCCGGUGGGGGAGC